GACGAACGCUGGCGGCGUGCUUAACACAUGCAAGUCGAACGGUAAGGCCCUUCGGGGUACACGAGUGGCGAACGGGUGAGUAACACGUGGGUGACCUGCCUUGCACUUCGGGAUAAGCCUGGGAAAAUGGGUCUAAUACCGGAUAGGACCACUGCCUGCAUGGGUGGUGGGGGAAAGUGAUUGUGGUGGGGGAUGGGCCCGCAGCCUAUAAGCUUGUUGGUGGGGUGAUGGCCUACCAAGGCGACGACGGGUAGCCGGCCUGAGAGGGUGACCGGCCACACUGGGACUGAGAUACGGCCCAGACUCCUACGGGAGGCAGCAGUGGGGAAUAUUGCACAAUGGGCGCAAGCCUGAUGCAGCGACGUCGCGUGAGGGAUGACGGCCUGCGGGUUGUAAACCUCUUUCAGCACCGACGAAGCGCAAGUGACGGUAGGUGCAGAAGAAGGACCGGCCAACUACGUGCCAGCAGCCGCGGUAA
rnacentral:rRNA from 1 species